rnacentral:rRNA from 1 species
UACGUAGGGUGCAAGCGUUAAUCGGAAUUACUGGGCGUAAAGCGUGCGCAGGCGGUUUUGUAAGUCUGACGUGAAAUCCCCGGGCUUAACCUGGGAAUUGCGUUGGAGACUGCAAGGCUGGAGUCUGGCAGAGGGGGGUAGAAUUCCACGUGUAGCAGUGAAAUGCGUAGAGAUGUGGAGGAACACCGAUGGCGAAGGCAGCCCCCUGGGUCAAGACUGACGCUCAUGCACGAAAGCGUGGGGAGCAAACAGGAUUAGAGUACCCUAAGUAG